rnacentral:ribozyme from 12 species
CAAGGAAAAAAUCUUGCAAGCAAAUAGAAAAAAACUUCAGUAAUUUGAAUAGUCCCAACAGUUUUUCUUUUUUUUUUUCUUUUCC